rnacentral:lncRNA from 1 species
CUGGUUCCGGGCAGUGCCAGGGGGGACAGCCCUGCCGCUGAGCAGCCAGGCCGAGCUGACGUGGGACAGCCUGCGGCCUUCCGACGCGGGGACAUACUACUGCGAGGCAGAGAACAGAGUCGGGGCAGGGGUGGUGCAGCGGAGCGAUGCCGUGGAGCUGGUGGUGAGAGGUGAGUCCCCAGCCUGUAGCUCCUCACCUCAGCGGCAGCAACCAGUGAGGCAAAUGGUUCCCGUUCGCCCAGGGAUCAGGCACGUAGCACCGAAUGUGAAUCGUGUCUGGAUCGCUGCUCAGGAGGGGAGCCCGGCUCUGCCCUUGGCACAUCUCGCUUUUGCCUGGCUUGGAACCCAGGCAGGGCGUGCAGCAAACCGUCUGAUGAGCGGUCUGUCCCACAGGGUCCCCAGUCACACAGCCACCCACGCCUGGGACCAGCCGGCACACAGGACCCCCACUCCCCUCAGAAGGCAGCGAAGCUCCCCAUGCGCUGGGAGAUCUGUCCACAGCAACGCUGUCCGCCAGGAAUGAUGUCGUUUCAGAGAGGGCUCCCGCUGCCACAGGUGAGCAAGCCCCUUGGUGAAACACGCACGAUUUGCACGGGGAGGGGCAGGCUGGCAAACACUCCGCAGACCAGACACUGAAACCGACUGCCCCAUUUUGCAUUUUGCAUUGCUGCUGGGAGCAAACCCCGGGCCUGUCAAACGCAGGCAGGAGCUGCCCUCUCGGCCGCCCA